CUUCUCUGCCUCCUCCUCGCAAUUCAUGUGGCUUGGUAAUGAAUGUGCUUUUCAAGGACAGGUCUCCCUCCUUCCGGGGUCCACACCUGAAGGGUGAUGCCAUCUUGCCCCAGGGAGGAGUGUUUCACGGACUGUCCAACCUGAGAAUGGUGAAUCCCAAAAGGUCAAUCUCAGGUCCGUCAGCCCAUGAGACGCUUGCUCCAGAUCUCCGGACUCUACACCGACAUGCACCCACAUGCCCCUCGCAGUGGACGACAGGUGGCUGAAUCCAUCACCCUACCCCAGAGACAACAUUGACAAGGAUGCUUCAGUUUCACCGCUUGAUGGAAGAGCACCCGUCGCAACUGCCAGCCCUAGAAUGCCAGGAUCCUGGCAGAAGCGCUUGAGAUGUGACAACUUUAAUUGGCAUUCUCGAUGACCUGUGGGAGCCGUAAACAUGUGUUUGCAGGAAACGCGUAGGGCUGUCAUGGAGAAAGAGAAUCGGAUGAGGGAUGAGUCGCCGCUGCUCGAGGUCUUUGUGACUCAGACAAAAGAGAACGGAGAAGAUUUUUGGCAGUUUUCAAGCCAGAGUUUCUGAGAAGACCCGAGAGAAUGGAAGUGCCCGGAAGGGGGAGAAUCCUAAAAUAGAUUCGGGUAGAACUCCUGCAAUGGACUGUCGCAGUCCUGAGAAAAGGACCUUCCUUACUCAUACAGUAACUCUCCUUUAUUGCUGUUGCUGGUCAAGCAUAUCUGACCUGUUUCUGGGUCUCAGAACCAUCUGCAAUCCUGGUGGACUCAGAUAUGAAAGAAGGCAGUUAGAAGCUGCUAAUUACCAGGUGAUGCCUUUGGUAUGUCUACCCUGCUGUUGUCUACAGAUUUGGUGCUCCCAAAAGAUGCUGGACUGCAAUGUCCAUCUACAACAGGUUGGGGAACUGAGUGAAAUUAAACAGAAUUCAGUUCAGCAUGGAGAAAUGGAAGGCUCCACAUUGAGGCAGGAAAAACCAGAUGCACAAAUCUAAGGUGGGUGGGGUGACUACUGGCUUGACAGUAGUAGUGGUCUUAGUAGACCACAAGUGAAUCGUGACGGAACAGUUUGAUUCAUCAGUCAAAAGAAGCCAAUAUAAUAUUAGAAUAGCUGGAUAGCUCAGUGCUUUAGGCAUCUGGCUGAGGUGCCAGAGUCUGAGAGUUUGAUUCCCCACUGGGCCUGCGUGACAGGCCUGGACUUCA